rnacentral:lncRNA from 1 species
AUUUUAAUAGUGGAUUUUCCAGACACAUGACAAGAGUCAAGAAGUUCCUUGAAAAAAUCAAACCAUACUCAAUUGACCAUGUCACUUUGGAGAUAGUUCUAUAGGUGAAAUUAAAGGGGUUAGAAGACUAGCAUGUUUUGGACUUCAAGUCUCAAUAAUGUCCUGUUGGUAAAAGGUUUGACUGCUAACUUGAUUAGUAUUAGUCAACUAUGUGAUGAGGCCCU